rnacentral:misc_RNA from 1 species
UAAUAAGUGUUUUAGUGGCACUUUUUAAAUCCAUAUCCACCUUGUGUGCAAUGUCAGUCGAUCUUCUUCAUGGAGAUCGACCAAACAUCAACCUUUAUCUUUUAACUCUUUGUCUGAAAAAUAUUAUGAAUAAACAAUUCAAAAUA